rnacentral:rRNA from 1 species
UACAGAGGGUGCAAGCGUUGCUCGGAAUCAUUGGGCGUAAAGGGCAAGUAGGUGGUCUCAUUUGUCUAGGGUGGAAAUCCUUGAGCUUAACUCAAGAAGUGCCCUAGAAACGGUGAGACUCGAGUACUGGAGAGGGUCGUGGAAUUCCCGGUGUAGCGGUGAAAUGCGUAGAGAUCGGGAGGAACACCAGAGGCGAAGGCGGCGACCUGGACAGUUACUGACACUCAACUGCGAAAGCGUGGGGAGCAAACAGG